GAUCCUAGCUCAGGAUGAACGCUAGCUACAGGCUUAACACAUGCAAGUCGAGGGGCAGCAUGAAAGGAACUUCGGUUCUUUUUGAUGGCGACCGGCGCACGGGUGCGUAACGCGUAUCGAACCUGCCUCAUACUCGGGGAUAGCCUUGCGAAAGUAAGAUUAAUACCCGGCGGUCUUGGAUGGCCGCAUGACUAUCCGAGUGAAGAUUUAUCGGUAUGAGAUGGCGAUGCGUCCCAUUAG
rnacentral:rRNA from 1 species